AUUUGAUGAUGAGGGCAUUUACGGAUUAGAUCUCGAAAUCUCUUCCAAGUUUCAUGAUAUUCUUCUCCCUCGGUUUGGAAGAAGCUUGUAAUGGCACGUCUAAACU